UACAUAGGGUGCAAGCGUUGUCCGGAAUUAUUGGGCGUAAAGAGCUCGUAGGUGGUUAGUUACGUCGGAUGUGAAAAUCUAGGGCUCAACCCUAGACCUGCAUCCGAUACGGGCUAGCUUGAGUUUGGUAGGGGAGACUGGAAUUCCUGGUGUAGCGGUGGAAUGCGCAGAUAUCAGGAGGAACACCAAUGGCGAAGGCAGGUCUCUGGGCCAAUACUGACACUGAGGAGCGAAAGUGUGGGGAGCGAACAGGAUUAGAUACCCUGGUAGUCCACACAGUAAACGAUGGGCACUAGUUGUGGGAACCUUCCACGGUUUCUGCGACGCAGCUAACGCAUUAAGUGCCCCGCCUGGGGAGUACGAUCGCAAGAUUA
rnacentral:rRNA from 1 species